AAGCAGAUGUUAACCAAACUGCCUGCACUGUCAAAAGGCUGGAAGAUCAACGUAUUAACGUGACAUGCAGAACCACCCUGGUGAAUGAGAAUCCUCCUGUGAGCCUGAUUAGUGCAUUCUUUUUCAAUUGACUCAAACCAAAUCAUGAUCAAAAGUGUGCGUGAUGAGAAGAACAAGGUGAUGGUGGAGGGGUGCAUAAACAUGAGCUUCUUGGCUGGGUAUUUACCCAAAGAAAAUGAAAAAUACUCAUUCGACAAGAUAUGCACCUCUAUGUUGAUUGCAACAUUAUUUACAACAGUCAAGAUAUGGAAGCAACCAAAGCAUCUACUGAUACAUGAAUGGGUAAGGAAGAUGUGAUACACAGAGACCACACACUCCACACACACAGAAUACUAUGCAGCAUGAGAAAAGGACGAGAUCGUGCCAUUUGCAAUCACGUGGAUGGGCCGAGAGGAGAGAACACAAGUGGAAGAACGGAAGAGAGAGAGGGAGACACAGAAUCUGAAGCAGGAUCCAGGCUCUGACCUCUCAGCAAAGAGCUCGACACGAGCUUGAACCCACAGACCGCGAGAUCACGACCUGAGCUGAAGUUGGACGCUUAACUGACUGAGCCACCCAGGCGCCCCCCAAAAAAUAUUUUUUAAAUAAAAUCUG